rnacentral:rRNA from 1 species
GAGUUUGAUCCUGGCUCAGGACGAACGCUGGCGGCGUGCCUAACACAUGCAAGUCGAACGGGGAUAUUGAUUUCGGUUGAUAUCCCAGUGGCGAACGGGUGAGUAACGCGUGAGCAACCUGACCUUUUGAGGGGGAUAACACCUGGAAACAAGUGCUAAUACCGCAUAAGACCACGGAGCGGCAUCGUUCAGGGGUCAAAGGAGGAAUCCGCAGAAGGAGGGGCUCGCGUCCCAUUAGAUAGUAGGCGGGGUAACGGCCCACCUAGUCGACGAUGGGUAGCCGAGCUGAGAGGCUGAUCGGCCACACUGGAACUGAGACACGGUCCAGACUCCUACGGGAGGCAGCAGUGGGGAAUAUUGGGCAAUGGGCGCAAGCCUGACCCAGCAACGCCGCGUGAGGGAAGAAGGCUUUCGGGUUGUAAACCUCUGUCCUUGGUGACGAAGGAAGUGACGGUAGCCAAGGAGGAAGCCCCGGCUAACUACGUGCCAGCCGCCGCGGUAAUAC